CCUCAGUCCAGAGGUUCAUGAACAGAUAGCAGCAGAAGUCUGUGAUACCAUUCUCACACACACACUGGAGCGGUUCUCCUUCACAGACCACCUCGUUAGUGCCACAUUGCUGCAGGCAGACAGGUUUGAGCAGUAUACAGUAGCUUUUCCAGAAGAUGCACUUAGCAGGACUCUGAAAGUCUAUCCUGUGCUCGAUGGAAGUAAGCUAAAGACAGAGCUCAGUCUCAUCUACUCCAAGGAUGAGAAGUCUUUUCAGAGACUGUAACUCUCCUAAAGAUUCUGGUAACUACGCCUAUGACCACAGCAGAAGCUGAGAGGUGCUUCUCAACUUUGAAAAGAAUAAAAACUUUUCUGAGAAACAGCAUGACCCAAGAGAGGCUGAAUGCAUUGGCCAUGCUGUCAAUAGAGAAGAGACUAGUGACUGAGAUGACUGACUUCAACCAAAAGGUCAUUGAGAAAUUUGCAAGCCAGAAAGAAAGGAGAGCAAAAUUUAUUUUCAAGUAGUGCUACUGGCCAGUAAUUAGGCAACAUCUAUGUGUGUCUGUGCGUGUGUUUAUUGAUUACUUCAUUACUUAUAAUAAACCUAAAUUGA
rnacentral:lncRNA from 1 species